rnacentral:rRNA from 1 species
UACGUAGGGUGCGAGCGUUGUCCGGAAUUAUUGGGCGUAAAGAGCUCGUAGGCGGUUUGUCGCGUCGGCCGUGAAAACUUGGGGCUUAACCCCAAGCCUGCGGUCGAUACGGGCGGACUUGAGUUCGGCAGGGGAGACUGGAAUUCCUGGUGUAGCGGUGAAAUGCGCAGAUAUCAGGAGGAACACCGGUGGCGAAGGCGGGUCUCUGGGCCGACACUGACGCUCAUGCACGAAAGCGUGGGGAGCAAACAGG